rnacentral:rRNA from 1 species
AACGAACGCUGGCGGCAUGCCUAACACAUGCAAGUCGAACGAGAUCUUCGGGUCUAGUGGCGCACGGGUGCGUAACGCGUGGGAAUCUGCCCUUUGGUUCGGAAUAACAGUUGGAAACGACUGCUAAUACCGGAUGAUGACGAAAGUCCAAAGAUUUAUCGCCAGAGGAUGAGCCCGCGUAGGAUUAGCUAGUUGGUGUGGUAACGGCGCACCAAGGCGACGAUCCUUAGCUGUUCUGAGAGGAUGAUCAGCCACACUGGGACUGAGACGCGGCCCAGACUCCUACGGGAGGCAGCAGUGGGGAAUAUUGGACAAUGGGCGAAAGCCUGAUCCAGCAAUGCCGCGUGAGUGAUGAAGGCCUUAGGGGUGUAAAGCUCUUUUACCCGGGAUGAUAAUGACAGUACCGGGAGAAUAAGCUCCGGCUAACUCCGUGCCAGCAGCCGCGGUAA